UCUCACUUCUCCCUCUGAUCCUCUCUGAGCUCUCUCCGAGACUCCGACUCCGACUCUCCCUUUCUCGCCUCUCGCCUCUCGGUCUCUCCAUCUUCUCCUUCUCUUCUCUUCUCUAGUUCUCCCGUCUGGGAGUCUCUGACGUCUGCAGGAGGAACCAGUCGUCUGCGGCCGUGGGCAACUUCAGCUCGAGUUCAAGGUCAGCCGGCUGCUCCGCCUUCAGCUCAAGGUGAGGUACCCAUGGUCGCUCCCCAAAAGAAACUUGUACUUUCUCCUGAAUCUGCUGGAUAAAGUCCUCCAUGGUCGUUUUUCAUUAGCUUUCUCUUCGUUUCUUGGUUCAACCUUUCUUCUUUUGCUUUUCCCUCUCCGUCUCCUCGGUCACAUCCGAACGCCUCUCCCUGGUUCGCACGAAGAACUAGAUACACGCUCUGCUCAUCUCUUUUGCAGCGUGAGGAACUGUGUGCGUUCUGUGUUUGUAUACAUGUAUAAGGUGGACUCUGGAAACACAUGGAUAUGAUCAUGUGACUUGGGAACUGCCCCAGUAUUCAGUACAUAUAAGCCUGAGUAGAUGGCUCUCGAGUUCCUCCGUGGAGAGCCUUCGAAUGAAAUUCUGAUGUAUACGGUUUUGGUGCAAUAUUGUGGGAGCUUGUAACGAUGCAACAACCAUGGGUUGAGCUUAGCCCUGCACAAGUCAUCUAAAGCUUCUGCAUGUGGAAGAUGAGUCACCGUCCUUGCUUGUGAAGCUUUUGCAAUUGGGAAAUGACAUAAUCUCUAUGUUAACAGAAUCAAGAAUGUGUCUCCUGCUUCCUACAGGCUUGCGGUCUCUGUCAUCCAAAAUUGCAUAGAAACGCUUGAGCCUUUUGUCUGAAUGUUCUUGGCAUCAUCAUUUAUUGAUAGAGGAGCUAGAGGCAGUGAACUUGGAGAAGUUUAUCACGAACUUGAAAUUUUCCACUGUGCCCUUCAGAUUUUUUUUGCUGUGAUCUCGAACUUGAUACAGUCAUUGCUUGUAUGUAUAAUGUAUUCCAAAAAUUGUUGACAAUGUGAACAUAAUUAAUGCCAGGUGGUUUUACA